AGCGAACGCUGGCGGCAGGCUUAACACAUGCAAGUCGAGCGGGCACCUUCGGGUGUCAGCGGCAGACGGGUGAGUAACACGUGGGAACGUACCCUUCGGUUCGGAAUAACGCUGGGAAACUAGCGCUAAUACCGGAUACGCCCUUAUGGGGAAAGGUUUACUGCCGAAGGAUCGGCCCGCGUCUGAUUAGCUAGUUGGUGGGGUAACCGCCUACCAAGGCGACGAUCAGUAGCUGGUCUGAGAGGAUGAUCAGCCACACUGGGACUGAGACACGGCCCAGACUCCUACGGGAGGCAGCAGUGGGGAAUAUUGGACAAUGGGCGCAAGCCUGAUCCAGCCAUGCCGCGUGAGUGAUGAAGGCCUUAGGGUUGUAAAGCUCUUUUGUCCGGGACGAUAAUGACGGUACCGGAAGAAUAAGCCCCGGCUAACUUCGUG
rnacentral:rRNA from 1 species